AGUGAACGCUGGCGGUAGGCCUAACACAUGCAAGUCGAACGGCAGCACAGUAAUAGCUUGCUCUUACGGGUGGCGAGUGGCGGACGGGUGAGGAAUACAUCGGAAUCUACUUUUUCGUGGGGGUUAACGUAGGUAAUCUUACUCUACUACCGCAUACGCCCUACGGGUGAAAGCAGUGGAUCUUCGGACCUUUCGCGUUUUAUUGCGCCGAUGUCGGAUUAGCUAGUUGGCGGGGUAAAGGCCCACCAAGGCGACGAUCCGUAGCUGGUCUGAGAGGAUGAUCAGCCACACUGGAACUGAGACACGGACCAGACACCUACGGGAGGCAGCAGUGGGGAAUAUUGGACAAUGGGCGCAAGCCUGAUCCAGCAAUACCGCGUGGGUGAAGAAGGACUUCGGGUUGUAAAGCCCUUUUGUUGGGAAAGAAAAGCAGCAGGUUAAUACCCCGCUGUUAUGACGGUAACCAAAGAAUAAGCACCGGCUAACUUCGUG
rnacentral:rRNA from 1 species